AUUAAGGUGGCAGAGCCGGCAAUUGCAUAAAACUUAAGCCUUUAUAAUCAGAGGUUCAAAUCCUCUCCUUAAUA
rnacentral:tRNA from 2 species